rnacentral:rRNA from 1 species
CGUCUGGAAAGGCGCGCGAUACAGGGUGACAGCCCCGUACACAAAAAUGCACAUACUGUGAGCUCGAUGAGUAGGGCGGGACACGUGGUAUCCUGUCUGAAUAUGGGGGGACCAUCCUCCAAGGCUAAAUACUCCUGACUGACCGAUAGUGAACCAGUACCGUGAGGGAAAGGCGAAAAGAACCCCGGCGAGGGGAGUGAAAAAGAACCUGAAACCGUGUACGUACAAGCAGUGGGAGCACGCUUAGGCGUGUGACUGCGUACCUUUUGUAUAAUGGGUCAGCGACUUAUAUUCUGUAGCAAGGUUAACCGAAUAGGGGAGCCGAAGGGAAACCGAGUCUUAACUGGGCGUUAAGUUGCAGGGUAUAGACCCGAAACCCGGUGAUCUAGCCAUGGGCAGGUUGAAGGUUGGGUAACACUAACUGGAGGACCGAACCGACUAAUGUUGAAAAAUUAGCGGAUGACUUGUGGCUGGGGGUGAAAGGCCAAUCAAACCGGGAGAUAGCUGGUUCUCCCCGAAAGCUAUUUAGGUAGCGCCUCGUGAAUUCAUCUCCGGGGGUAGAGCACUGUUUCGGCAAGGGGGUCAUCCCGACUUACCAACCCGAUGCAAACUGCGAAUACCGGAGAAUGUUAUCACGGGAGACACACGGCGGGUGCUAACGUCCGUCGUGAAGAGGGAAACAACCCAGACCGCCAGCUAAGGUCCCAAAGUCAUGGUUAAGUGGGAAACGAUGUGGGAAGGCCCAGACAGCCAGGAUGUUGGCUUAGAAGCAGCCAUCAUUUAAAGAAAGCGUAAUAGCUCACUGGUCGAGUCGGCCUGCGCGGAAGAUGUAACGGGGCUAAACCAUGCACCGAAGCUGCGGCAGCGACGCUGAUGCGUUGUUGGGUAGGGGAGCGUUCUGUAAGCCUGUGAAGGUGUGCUGUGAGGCAUGCUGGAGGUAUCAGAAGUGCGAAUGCUGACAUAAGUAACGAUAAAGCGGGUGAAAAGCCCGCUCGCCGGAAGACCAAGGGUUCCUGUCCAACGUUAAUCGGGGCAGGGUGAGUCGACCCCUAAGGCGAGGCCGAAAGGCGUAGUCGAUGGGAAACAGGUUAAUAUUCCUGUACUUGGUGUUACUGCGAAGGGGGGACGGAGAAGGCUAUGUUGGCCGGGCGACGGUUGUCCCGGUUUAAGCGUGUAGGCUGGUUUUCCAGGCAAAUCCGGAAAAUCAAGGCUGAGGCGUGAUGACGAGGCACUACGGUGCUGAAGCAACAAAUGCCCUGCUUCCAGGAAAAGCCUCUAAGCAUCAGGUAACAUCAAAUCGUACCCCAAACCGACACAGGUGGUCAGGUAGAGAAUACCAAGGCGCUUGAGAGAACUCGGGUGAAGGAACUAGGCAAAAUGGUGCCGUAACUUCGGGAGAAGGCACGCUGAUAUGUAGGUGAAGCGACUUGCUCGUGGAGCUGAAAUCAGUCGAAGAUACCAGCUGGCUGCAACUGUUUAUUAAAAACACAGCACUGUGCAAACACGAAAGUGGACGUAUACGGUGUGACGCCUGCCCGGUGCCGGAAGGUUAAUUGAUGGGGUCAGCGCAAGCGAAGCUCUUGAUCGAAGCCCCGGUAAACGGCGGCCGUAACUAUAACGGUCCUAAGGUAGCGAAAUUCCUUGUCGGGUAAGUUCCGACCUGCACGAAUGGCGUAAUGAUGGCCAGGCUGUCUCCACCCGAGACUCAGUGAAAUUGAACUCGCUGUGAAGAUGCAGUGUACCCGCGGCAAGACGGAAAGACCCCGUGAACCUUUACUAUAGCUUGACACUGAACAUUGAGCCUUGAUGUGUAGGAUAGGUGGGAGGCUUUGAAGUGUGGACGCCAGUCUGCAUGGAGCCGGCCUUGAAAUACCACCCUUUAAUGUUUGAUGUUCUAACGUUGACCCGUGAUCCGGGUUGCGGACAGUGUCUGGUGGGUAGUUUGACUGGGGCGGUCUCCUCCUAAAGAGUAACGGAGGAGCACGAAGGUUGGCUAAUCCUGGUCGGACAUCAGGAGGUUAGUGCAAUGGCAUAAGCCAGCUUGACUGCGAGCGUGACGGCGCGAGCAGGUGCGAAAGCAGGUCAUAGUGAUCCGGUGGUUCUGAAUGGAAGGGCCAUCGCUCAACGGAUAAAAGGUACUCCGGGGAUAACAGGCUGAUACCGCCCAAGAGUUCAUAUCGACGGCGGUGUUUGGCACCUCGAUGUCGGCUCAUCACAUCCUGGGGCUGAAGUAGGUCCCAAGGGUAUGGCUGUUCGCCAUUUAAAGUGGUACGCGAGCUGGGUUUAGAACGUCGUGAGACAGUUCGGUCCCUAUCU